ensembl:lncRNA
GGACUGUAGAGGUUUAGGAGGGUAACAUAACAACAGGACUGUAGAGGUUUAGGAGGGGUAACAUAACAGGACUGUAGAGGUUUAGGAGGGGUAACAUAACAGGACUGUAGAGGUUUAGGAGGGGUAACGUAACAGGACUGUAGAGGUUUAAGAGGGGUAACAUAACAACAGGACUGUAGAAGUUUAGGAGGGGUAACAUACAUGUACUAUGAUUCUGUUAUACUGAAAUAAAAUAUAAAUGCAGCAUCUAAAGUGUUGGUCCCAUCUUUCAUGCGCUAAAAAAAAGAUCCCAGAAAUGUUCCAGAUGUACAAAAAGCUUAUUUCUUUCAAACUGUGUGCGCAAAAUUGUUAACAUCCCUGUUAAUUAGCAUGUUAUCCUUUGAUUACAGCCUCAAGUCUUCUUGGGUAUGACACUACAAGUUCAGCACACCUAUAUUUGGGGAGUUUCUCCCAUUCUGCUCUGCAGAUCCUCUCAACCUCUGUCAGGUUGGACGGGGAGCGUCGCUACACAGCUAAUUUCAGGUCUCUCCAGAGAUGUUAGAACAGGUUCAAGCCCGGGCUCUGGCGGGGCCACUCAGAGACUUGUCCCGAAGCCACUCCUGUGUUGUCUUGGCUGUGUGCUUAGGGUUGUUGUCCUGUUAGAAGGUGAACCUUUGCCCCAGUCUGAGGUCCUGAGCGCUCUGGAGCAGGUUUUCAAUCAAGGAUCUCUCUCUACUUUGCUCCGUUCAUCUUUCCCUCGAACCUAACUAGUCUCCAAGUCUCUGCCGCUGAAAAACGUCCCCACAGGCUGAUGCUGCAAACAACGUGAGUGUAUGUAUGUGUUACAGCAUGACGUAAAAUCACUACUUUUACAUACCCCAGGGCAUUGUGAAGCAGAAUGACGCUCGUAGGUACCCUGUCUAACUGGGAGUGGGGACAGACAAUUGUAAAUGGUUUAGACGGGGCUUUACUUUAAUCAAAGUGCAGUACAGAUUCAAAGAAUGCAGGCAAUGCAAAAGCUAAACAAAUUAUGUUCUACUUCAGUCGUGCUUCUACAAAAACUACAGAUAUAACUGGGUGAUUAAUAAAUCAUGGGAUUUAUGUCAGUUGCUAGGUCUUAGCAGGUGAAGGAUUCCUUGUCUAAUG